rnacentral:lncRNA from 1 species
CGCCAGCCUGCAGGUGCCAUCGCCCUCCCUUCAGGGUGAAUUCUCGCUCAGGCCCUACCUCCCAAUUCAGCCUUGUCAUCUGGCCUUACCAGGACCUCUCCGGACCACCAGCAGGUCCAAGGCUGCAAAGUGCACGACUGUUCUCUGAACGAUUGAAUGCCUGAAUGCAUGUAGGUCACUGGCAGCCUGGUGUUCCAGGGACAGGAGACUUGAGAGGAGGGUCUUCCUUCUCAUUCUCCCAUUGCACUGCCUGCUCUGCAGCUGUACCCUCAGAUCCUAACACAACACCUGGG